GCAGGGAAUAUUGCGCAAUGGGCGAAAGCCUGACGCAGCAACGCCGCGUGGGGGAAGAAGGCCUUCGGGUUGUAAACCCCUUUUCUCGGGGAAGAAUACUGACGGUACUCGAGGAAUAAGCCUCGGCCAACUACGUGCCAGCAGCCGCGGUAAGACGUAGGAGGCGAGCGUUAUCCGGAUUUAUUGGGCGUAAAGGGCGUGUAGGCGGCCUUUCAAGUCUAUGGUGAAAUCUCCCGGCUUAACUGGGAGGGUGCCAGAGAUACUGGAGGGCUUGAGGGCAGCAGAGGGGGGUGGAAUUCCCGGUGUAGUGGUGAAAUACGUAGAUAUCGGGAGGAACACCAGUGGCGAAGGCGACCCCCUGGGCUGUUCCUGACGCUGAGGCGCGAAAGCGUGGGGAGCAAACAGGAUUAGAUACCCGAGUAGUCC
rnacentral:rRNA from 1 species